GAACUGCAUUUGAAACUGGUUGACUAGAGUUUUGUAGAGGGUGGUAGAAUUUCAGGUGUAGCGGUGAAAUGCGUAGAGAUCUGAAGGAAUACCAGUGGCGAAGGCGGCCACCUGGACAAAGACUGACACUGAGGCGCGAAGGCGUGGGGAGCAAACGGGAUUAGAUACCCCGGUAGUCCACGCAGUAAACGAUGUCUAUUAGAAGUUUGUGGCUAUAUGCCGUGGGUUUCAAAGCUAACGCAUUAAAUAGACCGCCUGGGGAGUACGGCCGCAAGGUUAAAACUCAAAUGAAUUGACGGGGGCCCGCACAAGCGGUGGAGCAUGUGGUUUAAUUCGAUGCAACGCGAAGAACCUUACCAUCCCUUGACAUCCAGAGAAUCACCUAGAGAUAGAUGAGUGCCUUCGGGAACUCUGAGACAGGUGCUGCAUGGCUGUCGUCAGCUCGUGUUGUGAAAUGUUGGGUUAAGUCCCGCAACGAGCGCAACCCUUAUCCUUAGUUGCCAGCACGUAAUGGUGGGAACUCUAGGGAGACUGCCGGUGAUAAACCGGAGGAAGGUGGGGACGACGUCAAGUCAUCAUGGCCCUUACGGGAUGGGCUACACACGUGCUACAAUGGCAAAUACAAAGGGUUGCUAACCUGCGAGGGUAUGCGAAUCUCAUAAAGUUUGUCGUAGUCCGGAUCGGAGUCUGCAACUCGACUCCGUGAAGUCGGAAUCGCUAGUAAUCGUGGAUCAGAAUGCCACGGUGAAUACGUUCCCGGGCCUUGUACACACCGCCCGUCACACCAUGGGAGUGGGCUGCACCAGAAGUCAUUAGCUUAACCUUCGGGAUGGCGAUGACCACGGUGUGGUUCAUGACUGGGGUGAA
rnacentral:rRNA from 1 species